rnacentral:rRNA from 1 species
AUUGAACGCUGGCGGCAUGCCUUACACAUGCAAGUCGAACGGUAGAGGGGGGCAACCCCUUCGAGAGUGGCGAACGGGUGAGUAAUGCAUCGGAACGUGCCCAGUCGUGGGGGAUAGCCCGGGGAAACCCGGAUUAAUACCGCAUACGACCUGAGGGUGAAAGCGGGGGACUCGCAAGGUCCUCGCGCGAUUGGAGCGGCCGAGGGCGGAUUAGGUAGUUGGUGGGGUAAAGGCCUACCAAGCCUGCGAUCCGUAGCUGGUCUGAGAGGACGACCAGCCACACUGGGACUGAGACACGGCCCAGACUCCUACGGGAGGCAGCAGUGGGGAAUUUUGGACAAUGGGGGCAACCCUGAUCCAGCCAUGCCGCGUGCGGGAAGAAGGCCUUCGGGUUGUAAACCGCUCUUGUCAGGGAAGAAAUGUCCUGGGCUAAUACCCUGGGGGGAUGACGGUACCUGAAGAAUAAGCACCGGCUAACUACGUGCCAGCAGCCGCCGCAG